CAAUAAUGCAAGUGGACGAAUAGGAAAGCACACAGAAAUAUAUCUGUAUUAUGCUAUUAAUGUGCUUUUAAGCAACAAAUAUGAGUCAGAAAAUCAGCGGUGAAGUAGGGAAAUAAACUGGAUUUUAAAUCAUCCAAUGCUCUUGUAUGAAUCACAAACACUAUAUAAAAAUCUGUUAUAAUCCUUUUUAAUGUAAUUACAGCAAAAAAAGAUAUAUUUCAAGAGAUUAUUCUCAAUUUUACAGCUUUCACAGGUUUGACCGAGAUGAACAAAAGUAGGCUUUCCCCUGCAGUAUUAACAACUAAGAAAAUAAAAUGAAUAAGCAAACAGGAAGUUUACACAGAUAAACAAAAAAAGCUAGUUCCAACACCUGACUAAAAUUACUAUAUAAUCGGAAAAGGAAAAACACACCUACAAACUCAAUUGUGAGGAAAAUUAUGUAUUAAAAUAGUACAUUCAAAACAAGUGUAUCAUUUAAGUCAAACUUCAGCACAGUAAAAAGCAAUACGUGAAAACAACAGCUUGUAUUAAUAAAAUCUAAAUGUGGGAAAAAAAACUCUCCUAGAACAUUGGCAUUAUUUUUAUAAUCUGUAUGGCUGAGGAAAAUGUUAUCAAUAAUAGAUUUAACAGUUGUAGCCAGCCAUAUAAACUGGCAGUGGAUUUUUAAAAAAUGAUCUAAAAUUGCAGUCUCAAUAUCACAUAAAACCCUCAUUUCCACGUGUAAAAUUAAAAGAAAAGGCUAAACCUUGAACCGCUUGGUUCAACCAAUACCUGGAGGACAUAAAAUCACAUUGAUAUAUAUGUACACACACACACACACACACCUCAAAGAAAAACAAAUAUUCAGUGAGAGAAGGUAGACAAAUUAUACAGUAGUCUUGAGGUGGAGCGAGAAAAGUCUCAUCGUUUUCACAUUUGGGUUGCAUUCAAAACCCCCACAUACACAAUAAAUUCAGACUCAUUUACUCAGAUAUCGCAGUUAUAUUUAUGGAUGAGGGUGAAAAGUCAAUAAUGAUACUUAUCACCUCGGUGCUAUGCUUACAAGCUAUUUCUACAGCCUAGUGGACAGAUACAUGUCUACUUGUAAUGCAAAUUUUAAGUACUUUAUAAACUAAUACAUAUUUUUCCAAAUAGAAAGCUUAUAGUUAUAUUAUUUUUGCUUAACUAAAUUAUGUAUCUGUGUAAGAUAUUUAGUAUAGAUCCAGAUUAAUGAAAAAGCCCUUAUUUUUUAAAAUACAUACAUAUAUAUUUGAAAUAAUAUAUAAUGAAAGCCAGUAAUUAGACAACACAAGUGAUAAAUGACUCAAGUGCUUCAAUUUAGAAGCUAAAAUAAAUUUAAAAACAAAAUGACUGGAUUUAGGAAAGCCAUAACUUAUGGAAUUUAUAAGGACUCUUAUAAUAGUAUCCUUUUUACAUAACUUAGUAAUUACUAGUACUCCUCAUAUAAUACUGAAUUUUAAAAAGUAAAUAAUUUGUGACAAAAGAAAAUAAUGGCAUUACUACACAUUGCUCAAAAAGGAAAAGUGAAAAUACCACUUUUCAAUCAUUUUAAAAAGAUGUUCUUUAAAAAAAAAAUAAUGACACUAGAUGACUAAGCACAUGAAAUAAGAAAAAUGUACAGGGCAACUCAUUUAUAGUAAUUCAACCUUCAUCUUCUGAUUUAGUUACUGUGAAAAAUCUAUUAUAAGUUCAAUUUGGUAGUGAACUGUAGCCAUCUACUGGAAAUGAACAGUUAGAGCAAAUGUUUAAUAUCAUGUUUCUCUCUAAGAAACCAGUAUUCUUUGUGCUUAAUUUAGUGGACUAGAGAAAUGAACAAUCCUAGGUGUAGUAAGAUAAAAUUUAAUUUAUUAUAUCAGCCUCACAAUCUCAAAUCUGUAAAGAUAUAUGAGUUAGUGGUUUAAUAUGUUAUUUUUAAUACAACUCUAUGUAUAAAUAGCUUUCUAUCACUAAGAGAUUUUCUUGGUCUAUUAACCUACUUUUCCCAAGCCUCACAUUCUUAGAUCAUGUAGCCAUGCAAAUUCCAAAAUUGUUACUAAAAGUUUUAAGUGAAUUUACCCUAUAAGUGCCUUUAGUUACCAAAUUAUAAGCUAGAUAUAUAAUCACAGUUUUAGUACUAUAUUUUACUCAGUUUAGCAUUGAAACAAUUUUCAUAGAAAUAAAAACAGAAGCUAAGAAAAAAGGGGCCAAACCAUGGCCUUUAUGUUUCCCUUAGAGAACAUUUAAAACCCUAAUUGCUCUGUGCGUACAUGUAUAACUGAAUCACUUUGUUGUACAGCAGAAAUUAUCACAACAUUGUAAAUCAACAAAACUUCAAUAAAACUUAAAAAAAAGUAGCACACAAGAAAAAAAUUAAAACAUAACAAUAGAAAAUAAAAAUAAAAUCAUAAUUGUUUAAACACAGAGCUGCUACCUUACUCAUUUAUGGUCAGGUUGCAGAAACAACUUAGGAAUACUAACUGCACCUGUUGGUAAAUAAUAAUGCUGUUCCUGAGGAACAAGAAAUAAAACUGCAACUUGUAUUUUAUACUUCCUCAAAAUCCUUUCAAUAUCAAUGAUACGAUGGUUUGUCUACUACCAAGUUUUUUCAAAUAUAAAUGCUCAUUGUCAGAAUUAGUCAUUGAAUUUUCCAGACCCAGCAAUCACUGCUAUGCAGUGACUUAAUUUUAGUUAUUGCUAAUGAUACUUAAAAGUCAGUAACUGAGCACCGGUUAAAAUUAUUUCAACAGAUAUGGAUUUCAUAAAACAAAAAGAAAGUAAUGAACAAGGUACUAAUAUGUCCAUGAUAAAACAUAAACCAACAAUGUAAAUGAGAAAUUUUUCAAAAAAAAGGAAAGAAGCUAAAAUAGUUGUUUUAAUUUUUUCCAAAUAGCAUAUGCCAUUUAAGUAAGUUCCCAUAUGGAAGUUCUUGUGUACAUCAUCAUAUUAGUUUGAUAAUAUCCUGAUACUUGAAUUAACUAAUGUAUGAAUUAUAUAAGAAUUAGCUUUUUAUCAACUUGCUAGUUUGCAAUAUCACUAUUUUGUAAAAGAUGUUACUGAAAUUGAAAUGAAGAGCUAUGAAUCAAUAUGUGAAGGUGAAGUCAUUAAUUUCUAAAAUCCACUAUCCAUACACUAACGUUUUGAGGACAAAACAGAUUCAAUUUUUAUGGCUGGUAAUAUUUCACAGCAGUUCAGCAAAUACACUAAUAAGAUACUUAGAUGGGCAAAGAUUCUCUUAGUCUUGUAAACCAGGUAUAAAAAAGGCCUAGUGUUUUCCAGAUGUUCAAACAUAAACUCAUAUUACUAACUCCAGUUGGCAAGUGGUAGAUUUAAGAACUACAGUAUUCUUCUGUUAUUCACGAUAUAGAAAACUGAGAUUAUGCCUUUUAAAUAAACUUUCAAAGUGAUUCAAUCUGAAAUCCUUCAUCACUAAAACAGUAUAAUCUAUAAUAGUCAAACCGAGAAAAUUUCAAAGAAAAUUCUCAAAAUUUCAAAGCAACCAGCUAAUUUCAAAAAUCAUAUACAUCCAGGAGAAUCGCAAUGAUACCCAUUUCCUUACUGCAGCCAAAUAUGAUUAUAGUGAUAGACUUAAUUUGGUCCAAUAAAAUGUCAAAGUACAUAAACCAAGCUCAAUGAACUCUACAAAACCUAAACUCAGACCAUAAGGCAUGGAUUCAAACAUGAAUUAUUUAAUAAAUUUCAAAUCUAG
rnacentral:lncRNA from 1 species